AUGCACUUUAUUUAAGAAGAUUUCUUUUACAUUCUAAAAAAGAAUUUACUCCAAAGCACAGGGCUUAUUUUUCUUGCUAGUCUUCCUUAGAUGCAAUUGGAUUCAAAAGAAUUCCUUGUAAGGAUGAUUUCUUCUCAUAACUUUUCAGCUGCACAAUACUUAGACAUGUCUUUUGGUGGAUAAAAUAUUAUAUAAAAAAAUUAAACAUCUCUAUGAAUUUUAUAUUUGUACAACUGGAAAUGCCUAAUUUUGGUACGCUGUUUCUUGGUAACGUAACUUUGUUAUGGGAUUUCAAAACUUCUGGAGGGUUCUUGUAGCCCAUUUUAUUAUUGACUAAUGAA